UCAGAACGAACGCUGGCGGCGCGUCUUAAGCAUGCAAGUCGAACGGCAAGAGGUAGCAAUACCUCCUAGAGUGGCGGACUGGUGAGUAACACGUGGGUGACAUACCCUUCAGAUGGGGAGUAGCUAUUAGAAAUAGUAGAUAAUACCGAAUACGAGCACAGGGGUUAGAGAUCUGUGAGGAAAGGAGCUAAGGCUCCGCUGAAGGAAUGGCCUGCGGCCCAUUAGCUAGUUGGUGAGGUAAGAGCCCACCAAGGCGAUGAUGGGUAUCCGGCCUUAGAGGGUGAACGGACACAUUGGGACUGAGAUACGGCCCAGACUCCUACGGGAGGCAGCAGCUAAGAAUAUUCCGCAAUGGACGAAAGUCUGACGGAGCGACGCCGCCGUGGAUGAAGAAGGCCGGAAGGUUGUAAAAUCCUUUUGAAACUGAAGAAUAAGCGUUGUAGGGAAUGACAGCGUGGUGACAGUAGGUUUUGAAUAAGCAACGGCUAAUUACGUGCCAGCCGCCGC
rnacentral:rRNA from 1 species